CNCUAANCCUUGAAAUCAAUUUUUACUUAACUUAUACAUGCAAGUCUCCGCACCCCUGUGAAAACGCCCUUAAANCCCCUAACAGGGGUAAGGAGCCGGUAUCAGGCACAACUAUUAGCCCAAGACACCUAGCCAUGCCACACCCACAAGGGCACUCAGCAGUAAUUAACAUUGAACAUAAGCGCCAGCUUGAUUCAGUUAAAGUAAAAAGGGCAGGCAAAUGUGGUGCCAGCCGCCGCGGUUACACCAUGAGGCCCAAAUUGACUUCUUUNCGGCGUAAAGAGUGAUUAAAGGNAACACUUAAACUGUAGUUAAAUUAUNUAUUAAGUAGUGAUAAGCUUAUAUCUAAGAAACCCAANAAACGAAAGUUACUACANNNCCUAAAUCAACUUGAAUUCACAAUAGCUAUGACACAAACUAGGAUUAGAUACCCUACUAUGCUUAGCCCCAAACUCUUAAUUACANNNNNNNNCCCUAAACGCCCGGGAACUACGAGCNAAAGCUUAAAACCCAAAGGACUUGACGGUGCCCCACAUCCCCCUAGAGGAGCCUGUCCUAUAAUCGAUAACCCCCGUUUUACCUCACCAUUUUUAGCAAGAUCAGUCUGUAUACCUCCGUCGUCAGCUUACCACCUGAGUGCUCUAUNAGUAAGUCUAAUGUCUUUUACACUCGUCAAUACGUCAGGUCAAGGUGCAACUAAUAAAAUGGAAAGAGAUGGGCUACACUCUCUAAUAUAGAAUAUACAGAAAACAANCNAUGAAANACUAGUUUAAAGGUGGAUUUAGUAGUAAAAAAAGAUCAGAGAGCUUUUUUUANACAAGGCCCUGGGNGCGUGUACACACCGCCCGUCACCCUCUUCGNCAGACANNUANUAAUAGUAUUUUACUCAAUACANGCAAAGUAGAAGAGGUANAGUCGUAACAAGGUA
rnacentral:ncRNA from 1 species